UCCCUGCCUUCUUGUAUUUCGUCUGCCCUACCCCGAUGCUUGGGAAAUCGUUUGUUCCGUGCUUCUCACGAGGAGAUGCCGGAUUUUCAGAGCUUGAAUAUGUCCUGCACCAGGGGAGAAGUAGCUUCGUGUGCCCCCAACCACUCCUUCCUUUUGAAUAGGAAUUCUAACUGCAGUUCAAACAGUAUUUCCUCCCCUUAAGAGACCACCUGGUUCGAAUGGUGAAGCUCUUUUGUAUGUGCAGCUCUUGGAAUCUCCUGAAAUAAAUAAUGAGCACAAAAAAAGGGAGAUGAAUUACCACCGAUGCUCUCCUGGGCCAGAGAAGACUUCUGAGCUGUCUCCAGAGCAAGCCAUCCUCCCAGCUGCCUGAGCCAGAAACAGACUAUCCUUGAUUGAUUGAUUACAUCGCGACGAUCAAUCACCACAUUGUGUCCAUUCUAACUUUCAGGUGUCUCAAGAAUACAUUCGCUUCCCUCUGUUCUCAGUUCAGCCACUACCAUCUUCCAUUGAAAUACUACAGCAAUUUCA